GAUGAACGCUGGCGGCGUGCCUAACACAUGCAAGUCGAACGGGUAGCUUCGGCUAUCAGUGGCAAACGGGUGCGUAAUACGUAGGGAUCUACCGCAUAGAUGGGGACAACGGCUGGAAACGGUCGCUAAUACCCGAUGACGUCUAAGGACGAAAGACGCAAGUCGCUAUGCGAGGAGCCUGCGGCCUAUCAGGUAGUUGGUGAGGUAACGGCUCACCAAGCCGACGACGGGUAGGG
rnacentral:rRNA from 1 species